UGUUGUUGGUUGUGUCGUUUCCAAUCUAAAAUCAAUGAGGAAAAAUAAAUGUGAAUAAAAGACUUUCAAAUUGAAAAAAUUGCAGAAUGGACAAUGAUAAUGUUGUCAAAUGGAUGAUAUUAUUGAUACCUCGGAUACAGGCGUUGAGGAAGAUGCUGAUGAAUUUGCAGGAGAACGAUGUAAGAGUCUGUUGAUGUACUCCAUAACAACAACGUGUUUAUCAGCAAGCACA